rnacentral:rRNA from 1 species
UACGGGGGGGGCAAGCGUUGUUCGGAAUUACUGGGCGUAAAGGGUUCGUAGGCGGCCAACUAAGUCGGAUGUGAAAUCCCCAGGCUUAACCUGGGAAUUGCAUCCGAUACUGGAUGGCUUGAAUCCGGGAGAGGGAUGCGGAAUUCCAGGUGUAGCGGUGAAAUGCGUAGAUAUCUGGAGGAACACCGGUGGCGAAGGCGGCAUCCUGGACCGGCAUUGACGCUGAGGAGCGAAAGCCAGGGGAGCAAACGGG